AGUGAACGCUGGCGGUAGGCCUAACACAUGCAAGUCGAACGGCAGCACAGUAAGAGCUUGCUCUUACGGGUGGCGAGUGGCGGACGGGUGAGGAAUACAUCGGAAUCUACUUUUUCGUGGGGGAUAACGUAGGGAAACUUACGCUAAUACCGCAUACGACCUACGGGUGAAAGCAGGGGAUCUUCGGACCUUGCGCGAUUGAAUGAGCCGAUGUCGGAUUAGCUAGUUGGCGGGGUAAAGGCCCACCAAGGCGACGAUCCGUAGCUGGUCUGAGAGGAUGAUCAGCCACACUGGAACUGAGACACGGUCCAGACUCCUACGGGAGGCAGCAGUGGGGAAUAUUGGGCAAUGGGCGAAAGCCUGAUCCAGCCAAACCGCGUGGGUGAAGAAGGGCUUCGGGUUGUAAAGCCCUUUUAUUGGGAAAGAAAAGCAGCAGGUUAAUACCCCGCUGUUCUGACGGUACCCAAAGAAUAAGCACCGGCUAACUUCGUG
rnacentral:rRNA from 1 species